AUUGAACGCUGGCGGCAGGCCUAACACAUGCAAGUCGAGCGGAUGAAGGGAGCUUGCUCCUGGAUUCAGCGGCGGACGGGUGAGUAAUGCCUAGGAAUCUGCCUGGUAGUGGGGGAUAACGUCCGGAAACGGGCGCUAAUACCGCAUACGUCCUGAGGGAGAAAGUGGGGGAUCUUCGGACCUCACGCUAUCAGAUGAGCCUAGGUCGGAUUAGCUAGUUGGUGGGGUAAAGGCCUACCAAGGCGACGAUCCGUAACUGGUCUGAGAGGAUGAUCAGUCACACUGGAACUGAGACACGGUCCAGACUCCUACGGGAGGCAGCAGUGGGGAAUAUUGGACAAUGGGCGAAAGCCUGAUCCAGCAAUGCCGCGUGUGUGAAGAAGGUCUUCGGAUUGUAAAGCACUUUAAGUUGGGAGGAAGGGAAGUAAGUUAAUACCUUGAUGUUUUGACGUUACCAAAAGAAUAAGCACCGGCUAACUUCGUG
rnacentral:rRNA from 1 species